rnacentral:lncRNA from 1 species
GAUGUAUAUGAACUAUAAGUAUGAAAAUGUUUGUAAAACAACUGUAAACGUUUGAUAAAACACUAGAAAUCCCUAUGAUUCCUACUAUUAUAUAAAGUGCGUCUUCUACCAAGACCUAACUGUUCUCAAUGUUCGUUUCUCGUAAAAGUGUGUAAUUUUCCCAAGAUUAACUAUCAUUUAUAAGAUAUAGUUUUUAUAUUUAUAGUUUAAGUGAAAAGAUCACUAAAUAUAUGUACAGGGAAAACUAAUGUAGUACUAAAACGUAGCGCUAUAAGAACUAUUGUUGUACUAACUACAUUAAACCGGAUUUAUAUUAAGGCAUCAUGUGAUUAAUUGCACCAUACUAUCGACUGGUAACAACGACAUAUGAAUGGUCGUAAUAACGGAAUGACGUUUGGCACCCGCAGACCUGCAGGUCCGGCUGUAGCUAGCAGCAAGGUGUAGGAUAGUCAAUCCAGUAUAGAUCUAUACGCAAACUCACGCUCUCCCUCCAAGAGAAUUCUGGCUACAACUCGGGCCAUGACAUUUAAGGCAUGCUCCGAUACAGUGGAUCACAAUUGUUAACGUAUUAAUGUAAGGGUAAUGUUUCUCGUUCUAGUAUAGUUGUAUAUGUUCUCUUCCUAGUAUAGUUGUAUAUGUUCUCGUCCUAGUAUAGUUGUAUAUGUUCUCGUCCUAGUAUAGUUGUAUAUGUAAUGUUCUAGAAAGUAUUGACUCAUGAAUGAACUGACUCAUUGUAUGAUAUCGCGUUCUAGUAACGGUUCUAGUAUCUUCCUAAACUACCCAUAUGGUAGUUUACUAGUAAUCUAACUGGUACGUAUGGACAUGGAUGUAUACCCUUGCUACCCAAGGGCAUGGGAUGAACUGGAAGGACCUUUUAUGACUAUAUAUGUACACAUGAUAUAUAACUAAUAUUUAAACGACCUUCGGACGAGUACCCGAUAUCCCACCAGACCACAUCUCAAGCGCGAAAAGGAAAUAGGGUGGAUAGCCUUCCUAAGUCUUUUAAACAUUUCUUAUAUAACUAUACAUAUAGAGGCAUGCAAUUUAUAAUAUAAAAGCAUAAAUAAAUUUUGUAAGACAUUUGAAACAUAAAUAUUAUUUUAAGAAAAGAUCGACUUGAUGUCAAUCUAUAAAACAAUUUGAAGGCAUAAGUUUGAUAAAACAGUUUAAGUAUAAGGAACAUUUGUUUGAAACACAGUUGUAAAUAAGUUUGAAAUAUGAUAAACAGAGUAAGAGGUACAGUGUAAUAAGGAGUUUAAAACAUAUAAAAUGUUUAUAAAAAUCAUUUGAAGGAAACUGUUUGGUAAAACGGCUAAUGAGUAGCCAAAUCUUUUGAAUGUUGUAUAUUAAUCACAUGUGAUUGAUGUAAUAAGUAAUAUAAUCCUACUUACUAAUCACAUGUGAUUGACAUAAUAAGUAGCAUGAUUCUACUUGUAUCCCCCCCCCAAAACAUUUAAAAUAGUUUAAAACAUUAGUUAAGGGGUAUGAACUCACCUGCAGUAAGUGACUGGAAUUGAACGGACUGUUAUCGUACGGAAGGAUCGGACAAGUGCUUGGUGUCAAGUGAAGACUUAGACACACACAAUGAUCCUAAUUACAUAUGAAGACAUAUGUAUAUAAAUAAUUAGAGAUUAAAUCACUAAUUAUACAAGUAUAAACAUUUAAGCGCGAGGACAACACUUUUGGUCAAGUGCUAGGAGGCUAAUGGGUUGCAACAAAGGAGUGCAAUGCCCCUAAUGGAAGUUUAAGGUCAAAAGACCAUAUUCAUUGGAGUUUACGGCCCAGGGGAGUAAGCUCCUGGCCGUAAACUCUCAACCAAGUCAUGAAAUGGAGCUUAGAAUUACUACAACCUUAGAGGGGAAUUGUUUCAAGGCUAUACAAGUGUUUGGGCACCACAUUGACUCCUUUGGGGAGUUUACGGCCCAAAGACCCUUUUCCCUUGGAGUUUACGGCCGUAAACUCCCUUGGGAGGGUUCUUAUUGUCCUUUCAAGUCUCUAACAUUUCUAGGAACAAGUCUAGGCUUCAAUACUUGGAUCAAGGGAGGUUUAUGGCAUUAAAUGGCACCAUUUGAUGGAGUUUACGGCCAUAGAACCUUUUGGGCCGUAAACUCCCUCACUCUUGGUGUUCUAAGUGUUUUAACUAGUCCAAAACUUAUUUAGGUACAUGCCCAAAUUGGUCUCUUGGCUUAAGGAAGGAUUUAGGGUGUCAUUUGACCCCUUUAUAGGAGUUUACGGCCCAAGAACCACUCUUGGCCAUAAACUCUUCAACACUUGUGCUUUCUUAUGUUUUCUUGGUUCUAAACACUUUAGGGUACAUGCCUAUAAUAAAGCCUAAGCCUUUGGGAUGAUUAGGGCACAUUUAAGUCCUUGAAAAUGGUGUUUACGGUCCAAGAAACUCUUGGGUCGUAAACUCCUAAAAGUAUGUGUUCUUGAUUGAUUUCUAGUCUCUAAUGAUCAUACACAAUACCGUAAGCUAGUUACCUAACAAGGAAUUGGGACUAGAUGGCCUUUAAGCUCCAUUUUGGAGUUUACUCCCCAAGAAUGUUCUUGGGCGGUAAACUCCCGGAUCUCUUAUAUUUGACCUACNCUCAUAUAUUUGACAUACAAUCUAUGUUAAUAAGCAUAAAACAAGCAUUAUAACACAACUAGAGAAGUGAACUCACGAUUUGGGAUGAAAACCCGAAGAUCUGUGAGAGAGAAAACGGCUUUUCUCUAGUUGGAAUUGUGAAUAAUGAAUGAAUUUAGUUCAGAAAUCUAUUUAUAGUUCUGAAAUAUUUUUGGCAGAAAAUAUUUUUAUUCCUGGAACGAAAUCUAAUGUCCUAGAGUCUUGGAAUAACAGUGUUGCACAAAACCCUAGUGCAUCCACUCUCUUAAUAUCAUCUUAAGUGUAAAAUCCUGAAAACUGCCAAACCUAUACUUGAAAUCUGAGUUUAGAUUGUAAAUGUUCUACAUCUAUUGGCUUGAUAUGGUUUGUUCUGAAUAGAAAUUUCGAGUUGUCACAUCAUCCCCCUGUUGAAGGGAAUUUCGUCCCAAAAUUAGAGUUUAGGCAAGGAAGUAUGCACGAAUGAUCGAGUCGUGAGGAGGAAACUUCCUAAUCGAUUGGUUCUAGCGCACCUAAGUGAAAUCGGGUUCUCGGUUGGCAUUCCAACGAACCUUCACUAACUGGCGAUGGCGUUUCUUCGUCCGCUUGACCUCUCGGUCGAGGGUCACUACGGUUCUAAUACGAAGGCGAGGAUCUCGACGAGUGGACUUGCAAGAGUCCUAACGGAAAGGCAUGGUUUCACGAUCGAGAUGCGAAGAGUAAAAUGUACGUUACCGAGUUCGCGAAGUAGGUCUAGUUUGUGCGAGGCACAUGACCGAUUCUGAUGAGAAUCUCGGAGGUCCUAACUAUAUUGGAUUUAGCUUUCCACGCGAUGCGAAGCGUAUUAAGCCAUUCCCAGAGUGAGUUAUCCUAAAGAACUUGGUCACUCACUUGGAAUUUCAAAGGUUCCUUUUCUUGCGUAACUUCCCAGUCAAAGGCCACCCCUUGCUAGGUCAAAGUCGUCCGAAUUUCUGUAGCUUGUGAGGAGUUCUGAAUGAACUAAGACGGUAGGUCGGUAAGACCUAGAAUUUGGCGAAAGACUGCCGGCGUCUCUGGUGUCGAUAAAUGCUCAACGGUUUUGACAAAUUGAAAGAGUACUCAAAAUUUCCCACAUUACUAACAGUGUGUCAUAGAAAUUUGACUCUUCAAUUUCAAGACUCGUGCCUAGAGAACUUCUCUAAAAGUUCCUCUGUAGGAAUGUUUCCAUGGGUUUUCUUCUUACUAUGAGGGUAGAUAAGUAAGUCAUUACAUGGAGAAAUAACGAAUUGAUCCAAGUAAGAAAGACAUAACCCUAUCAUUUAGCUCAUGAAAACUAUGGGCGUAUUGGUCCUAUCCGAAGGGUAUCACUAUGGACUCNAAGUGUCCGCAUCAAGUUCGGAAGAUAGUCUUCCGGACAUCCUUCCCUAACACUCGGACUGGUGAUAUUCGGAUUUCAGGUCCAUUCCUGAAAGUAAUUCUUUCCUUGCGUUUGCUCAACCAGUUCAUCUAUGUGAGGUAGAGAUAACGAUUUCUAAUGAAAAAUCUUGAUGGAGUCCUCGAUAUCCGAGGCACAUACGAUGCAUUCCGUCAAUCUCUGGGAGAAUAUGACCGGGGUUCUCUAGGGUGAGAAGCCUAGCCUUCUAAUUCCCUUUCUGUGUAGUUCGUUAAGUUGUUUGUAUUGUUCUGGUAUCUCCGUGGGUGUUUAAACUAUAGGGUGAUCUGUUUAUGGAAGUCGUACUGGUUUCUAAGUUUGUUCACAUGACGAUGUGAUUACUCGUAGUCUUGAGCAGUUCUUCGUCCUGAAGUUCAUAUUAGAAUUCAUACAUGGUUUCACAAUCACAACUUCAGGUAUACGAGUCGUAUAUAAUUAAGAUUGAAAAGGUAGUCGAAUAACUGAUUCUUCUUUAAGCUCACAUCCCAUCGGGAAAAAGAAGUUAAAGUGGAGUCAUCAAUUCUAAACCUGUAGAAGCUUGAUUAUAUAUCACUCUUAUGUAUACCUUCCUCAAUGAUAGAUCAAUCGCAUGAAUCCUUGGAUCAAACUUGACGUACUGCACGAGUGGUACUUCGGGGAUUUCUUCGGAAAGAAAAUAACUAAGAGGUACUCCUGGCAUGAGUACUUCGGCGUUCUGAUGUGACGGUUUCGCUGGAAAAAAUGAUCUAGAAGAAAGAGAUGUAUGUAUGAAGCUGGUUUUGUGAGGAUCAAAUUUAAUCGAGUCAUAUGAUAAUGUCGGAAUCAUACAGAAACUUAAAGACAUUAGAUUUGAACAUAAAACGUUUACAGACAAAACAUAACCGUGCAACCAUGAACAGAGUUACAGUACUUUAGAUUUACCACAAGACUAUUGCUGCGAAUAAGAUAUACUACAAAAGACAAGCAUACGCAGCACGAGACUCCCUAUACAGAUAGGAUCUCGCAAAAGGUAGGACUCUAGUUGCACUAAAUUUAAACAUGUUUUUGAUCAUACAAAUACUGACGAUUUGGAGGGAACCUAUACUAUAUUAAGGUCCUUAACCGUCUCUUUCCAUUCUGCAAUCAAACUCCUUCGGGUUCGUUUUUGUCCUUCUCUGCUGGACAGUCCCUCUUGAAGUGUCCCAUGACGCCACAUAGAUGGCAUAUCUGAGAGGUUUGGACAUUGGUGGUUGAUACAAUGUGUUGAAUCUGGAUCCUACAGUAGCUGGUAGUAUGUCCAUUCCUGUUGCACUUAAAACAGUGUAACGGACGACAACUACCCAGAUGAUGAAAGCUACACUCAUAGCAUUUUGGUAGGUUUCUAGCAUAUUGCCUGGCUGGUGUAGGGACAAUUGGGACACCGGAAGGAAUGGUAGUAGGAGGUGCAGAUGUAGUAGAUGUGAAGGUCGUUACUGGUGGUUGUUUCUUAUUCGCCCCUCGAAGCGAUUUGUCCUUCUUUUUGGCCCAAAACUUCCGUUUGUUACUCUUGGUCCUGGCACUCAGGGUAUUGUGGUAGUUUGUUGCUUGUCGAGGUACUGGAUUGUCACCUGGAGUGGCAUUGUUGUUAACAGCUCCGCUAACAUUCGCAUCGUUAGCGUAGAGGUGGGUCAGAAUAGCUGACACGACAGCCGAGACUGCAGCUUGAAAGGUAUCCGCAUCAAUCUGAAGGGUUGGUGCUUGGUUGAUGGGUUGAUCGUCUUUCUUUGGCGACAUGAUUCUGUUUCACGGAAAGAAAAUGAAUUUGUGAGCGAGCAUGGUUGAACCUAGAAUUAAUUUGACUGUUUAUGAAAGGAAUAGAAGUAUGUUCUCGUGAGUUUGACCUACAUCCCUAUGAUGCAGUCCUAGUACGGAAUGGAAGUAAGUUCAUAGAAUGGUCUCAAGACGUUUGGCGUUCGAGCUGAGGUAUCGUGGGUUGGUGAAUAACAAGAUCUAACCACUGAAAGAGACUUGGAAAUGUCACCGGAGAUAAAUCACUAUAGUCCAAUGACUUGACUAAAGCAUGUUUCAGAUAGAUUCUAAUGAAAGAAUGAUAAGAGUACUUGAAUAAAGAAUGACACAAAAGUUAGCCGGCUGUCAAUACCUUUGAUAUUCACGAUGUAAAGACUCUGGAAAAUGACCUUGUAAAGGUCUUACAUCAUAUCCACAGAAGAUAGUUCCUGACAGCAUAAAGACCUAACUAAAGUACUUACGGUACAAGAUAAUUUCAUAGAAAAUGCCACAUCGGGCAUAGACAGAAAAACACGAUUUCUUUUUAUAAGGAAAAAUAAAGUAACGCAUCUAUUACCGGCGAUGGUCAUCCUUCUGGUGAACUCUCAGUUCAACCAUUUGACAUUCCACGUCAAGUAGGUGUCUUUCGUACACCGGCUGGCAUACUCGGAGCUCUAAGACUUCGGUUCGUGAUUCAGUCAGUGCUUGCAGUUGGGUUUCAUGGUUUCUCUCUGAUCUCUCGUGAGCAUCUUCUAGAUGAAUGGUGUGGAGGGUAUGCAUUCUAGCAUAGGCGACUACUUCUGUAAUCUGAUGUAGGGCUGUCCUGCCUUGAAUCUCAUUUCGGGCCACUCUGCGGACCAAGAUUGGCAAGACUCUAUUUGCUGAGCCCCCAUUGCUCACGUCGUAAAAGCUUCGGUCGCCAUCAAAUGGCAUAGACUGAUCUUGUCCUUGGCUCCAUGUUCCCAAGCAUUCUACUCACUCAGGGUCGGGCCAUGAAAAGCCGGACGAGGGUUAGGAAUUGGAAAGGGAGCUGCUCGGGGUAGGUACUCAACCUCUGGUUCGGAGUUAGCAUCAUAUGAAAGGUCUUUAUCAUGGUGAUCAUUCAAGGGGAUAGGAUGAUCAUUCUCUGGCUCUUCUCCAAAUCAACCAGUUAUGACUUCAUUCGGAAGAUACUGGUUGCCGAGGGGAUGGAGUCCAGCUAUGUUUUCUAUGCGAGAAUCUAGGGUAAGAGAAUAAUUAUUAGACGAACUAUCUAGAUAAUUAUUUAGAAAAACCUUCAUCAGUUACAUCGCUAUUUGUGAAGUGCAUACCAGCUAUGUGUAAUCUAAACAGGAUAGACCUUCGAAUAAGUGACCUUAAUUUCAAAUUCACACAGAAUAGGGGUAAGGCAAAAUUAUCACAGAUUCUAAGUCUAUAACAUCCUAAUUACAUGUAGCCUUAGUGUAUCCACUUAGCAACUAUCAACUUAGUAAUGAAGAUCCCGUUUUAGUUCUCAAGUAUAAAGUACUUAUAGUAACACCAAAUACUCCUAUAGUAUUUUAAAUUUAAUGUUAUGUUCUAUUGUUCUCAUUGUGGUAGGGUUGGUAAGAUUUUAGCAUUGUUGCAACCACACACUUAAACUUAGGCACAUGCUAGUCAACCCUCGGAUAAUAUAGGUGAUCAGGCUAUAUCUUCCCAGUUUUGACCAUAUGUCUCUAAGCCCACUUGUGUUGCCCAACAAUCGUAAUUCUUUUGUACUGUCCUAGUGACACUGAUUUUAGUAUGAAUGCAGCACGUAUACUUACUUAAAUAUUUUACUAUUUAAAGUAUAAACUCUUGGUCAGAGUAUUUUUAAUCCCUUAUGUAUUUAUAGUUAGUAUAUCUUUUAUGGGUUGAUAUACUUAAUUCACUAUAAACAAUGCUCUGAUACCAAUCUGUCACACCCCAAAACCAAGAACGGCGGAAACGUUCUGGGGCGGAGGACGUCAUGUAUAAUAUCAACAACAAUGUAAAGUAGUAAACAAGCAACAACAUCAUCCAUUGCAUUAAUAAAAUAAUUAUUAUACAAUUGUAUUCUGUCAAAUUUUGAUAAACACUAAAGCAUAAAUCAAAAUGAAAGAUAAGUCUUGAAUAAGCUCCAUCUUCCUUUCUCCUUGCAUCGGUACCUGUCUAUGAUGACCUGAGGAUACAAGUAAUUUUGAAAGCGAGUAUCAGCUUUGAAGCUGGUGAGAUCAUAAGUAUUUAGUGUCUUAAUUUGUAUGUAAGAAUUUGUAAGUAUAUGUAUUGUAAGAAUUUGAAAGUGUAUAUGAAUUGUAAGUGUUUGAAAAACCCUAGAAUCCCUAUGAUUCCUUCUAGUAUAUGAAGGUGUCUUCUACCAAGACCUAACUGUUCUGUGUGUGUGUCUCUUGUAAGAGUAUGUAUUUUUCCAAAGUAUAACUAUCAUUAUCCAAAAAUAUAGUUUGUACAUUUAUGUUUAAGUGAGGUUAUCACUAAAAAUAUGUAAUGGAAAAAUUAACGUAGUACUAAAACGUAGCUCUAAAAGGACUACUACCGUACUAACUACCUUAAACCGGAUUUUAGGCUAAGGCAUUAUGUGAUAAAUUGCACCAUACUAUCGACUGAUAACAACGACAUAAAGAACGGUCGUAAUAACGGAAUGACGUUUGGCACCCGCAGACCUGCAGGUCCGGCUGUAGCUAGCAGCAAGGUGUAGGAUAGUCAAUCCAGUAUAGAUCUAUACGCAAACUCACGCUCUCCCUCCAAGAGAAUUCUAGCUACAACUCGGGCCAUGACAUUUAAGGCAUGCUCCGAUACAGUGGAUCACAAUUGUUAACGUAUUAAUGUAAGGGUAAUGUACGGAACUGUUCUACGUGUGCUAGCUGUAAUGUGUGUUCUUUCUCUAUCUAGCAAGUAUUGUAAUGUAAUCAUUCUAGUAUAGUUGUAUAUGUAAUGUGCUGCAAUAUUCUAGAAAGUAUUGACUCAUGAAUGAACUGACUCAUUUUAUGAUAUCGUGUUCUAGUAAUAGUUCUAGUUUCUUCCUAAGCU